CACAUAAAUUGUCAACUUGUACCAACUUGUAAACACACAUUAAAUCACACAAUGAAUCCAAUAAAGGAUUUCAAGACGAGCGCAACCCUCGUGUUUAGUUGCCAUCAUUGAGUUUGGAACCCUGAACAGACUGCCGGUGAUAAGCCGGAGGAAGGUGAGGAUGACGUCAAGUCAUCAUG
rnacentral:ncRNA from 1 species